rnacentral:tRNA from 1 species
ACUUUCAAAGGAUAAUAGCAAUCCAAUGGUCUUAGGAACCAUUCAUCUUGGUGCAAUUCCAAGUGAAAGUA